rnacentral:rRNA from 1 species
AUGAUAGUAGUAAAGCUAGAAGAUGUGGAGCGUGUGGAUGUUGAGGAGCGCGACCCUGGUCUGCACGAGGCUCCGGAACACCUUCUCGCUGCCGGCCUCCAGCUCCUCGAUGCACUCCUCCAGCUCCUCCAGCCUCUCCGCCACGGCGGCCACCGCCACCCCCUCCUCCCCACACCCCGGCGCCGACGACUUCUUCUUGUUCUUCUUCACCAGGCACACCAGCGCCGCCGUGCCCUUGCACGAGCACGACUCCGCCUCCACGGACCCGGACAUGGCCGCCACGGCCCCGAACAGCGCGGCGGACGCCGACGCCGUCGCCGCGGCCGACUCCAUCAGCAGCCCCGUCACCUCCACCUCCGCCGCGCUGCCUUGGCCGCCGCCGAGGAUGCUCAGGCGCGAGGGCCGGACGGCGGACUCCCUUGCCGUGGCGGCGAGGCGAGUGAGCUCUUGGCCGGCCCUGCGCUGGGCCCGCACAGCGGAGGCAAGGCGCGCCCCGUCGCGGCGGCGCACGGCCGCCAGCGCCUCGGCGACGUCCUGCUUGAGCGCGACCACGGCCUCCUGGAAGCAGCCGUGCGCGUCGGCGAGGCGGAGGAAGGAGUCGAGGAGGCGGUCCACGCUGCCGCCGGCGCCGGAGAGCGCGGCCUGUGCCUCGGGCAGGUCCAGCAGGUCGCCGAGCGCGGAGUGGAGCGCGUCCACGUGCGCCAGCCCCACGGCCACGGAGGCGGCCAACGCCGCUGGUCCCUGCUGCGCCCAGGCGCGCACGGCGCGGAUGUGGGUGUGGAGGUGCGCCAGGAUCGGGUGCGACCGGCACGGCAGACUGACGGACCGCUCAUGGUGCGACGCCGACGGCGCGCGCGGCUUGGAGGAGGACGACGACCUCGACGGGCUCAGCGGGAAGGAGAUGGAGCGCACGAAGGCGCGCGCCAUGGCCGCCGAGCUGGACACUUCAGAGCUACUUCAGAGGUGGUUCGUGUACGCAGAGGCGCGUCCGUGCGUGUGUGUUUGUGUCUGUGCGGCGUUGCUGGCUUAUAA